UGAAGCGGCAACAGCUCAAAUUUGAAAUCUGGCCCCCUCGGGGCCCGAGUUGUAAUUUGCAGAGGGAGCUUUUGGCGUCGGUCGUGGUCUAAGUUCCUUGGAACAGGACGUCACAGAGGGUGAGAAUCCCGUACGUGGCCGCCGGCCUUCGCCUUGUAAAGCCCCUUCGACGAGUCGAGUUGUUUGGGAAUGCAGCUCUAAAUGGGAGGUAAAUUCCUUCUAAAGCUAAAUACCCGCCAGAGACCGAUAGCGCACAAGUAGAGUGAUCGAAAGAUGAAAAGCACUUUGGAAAGAGAGUGAAAAAGCACGUGAAAUUGUUGAAAGGGAAGCGCUUGCGGCUAGACGUGCCCGCGGUUGAUCAUCCAGGCUCCGGCCUGGUGCACUCCUCCGCGGGCAGGCCAGCAUCAGUUCGGGCGGUCGGAUAAAGGCCUCUGUCACGUACCACCCCUCGGGGUGGCCUUAUAGGGGAGGCGCAACACGGCCAGCCCGGACUGAGGUUCCGCGCAUCUGCUAGGAUGCUGGCGUAAUAGCAGCAAGCGGCCCGUCUUGAAACACGGACCAAGGAGUCUAACAUCUAUGCGAGUGUUUGGGUGUCAAGCCCGAGCGCGCAAUGAAAGUGAACGGAGGUGGGAACCCUCACGGGUGCACCAUCGACCGAUCCUGAUGUCUUCGGAUGGAUUUGAGUAAGAGCAUAGCUGUUGGGACCCGAAAGAUGGUGAACUAUGCCUGAAUAGGGUGAAGCCAGAGGAAACUCUGGUGGAGGCUCGCAGCGGUUCUGACGUGCAAAUCGAUCGUC
rnacentral:rRNA from 1 species